rnacentral:rRNA from 1 species
UACGUAGGUGGCAAGCGUUGUCCGGAUUUAUUGGGCGUAAAGCGCGCGCAGGUGGUGCGGUAAGUCUGCCGUGAAAUCUCCCGGCUCAACUGGGAGGGGGCGGUGGAGACUGCCGGACUGGAGGGACUCAGAGGCCGGUGGAAUUCCCGGUGUAGUGGUGAAAUGCGUAGAGAUCGGGAGGAACACCAGUGGCGAAGGCGGCCGGCUGGGGGUGCCCUGACGCUGAGGCGCGAAAGCGUGGGGAGCGAACCAG